UUCAGCCAAAUCAGUAAGACAGGCGACGGACCUAGACAUCUGUCAAGUCUAUGCUACCAAGCCGGGGCUCCUCUCGAGGACCCAAAUAAUAGACCCAUAAAACUCCGUUCUGCGGAACCCAAAUCCAAAAUCGAAAGAACCACCGGCCUACGUUUGCCAUGCUACCAUACCAAGCGGGGGCUCGUCUCCGGAACUGAAGGUAUGCUUACCGUCGUGGAGGUUCCCCUCGCACUGGGGAUCUCCCCGCCAGGCGUCGACGAGCUGGAUGACUCCGACGCGGCGGCGAAGUGCGACGGACGAGGGCUCUGUAGCGGCGGGGGUCCUACGCCGCCUGUGACCGGUUCCGGAGGCCUUGACGGCGCGAGGGGGCGGCGGGAGGUGAACAGUUGGGACUUGGGAGGAGGGACCGGAAUCCGGAUAACGACAGUCGGGCGGGAAAUGAGACUUGUGUUCUUGUUGAUGCACACCACCACCAAUGGGUAGCUACUGCCUUCGGUCUCGUCGUCGUCGUCCGUCCGUCGCUUUACCUGUCCAUUGCGCUUAUGUUGCUUCUCUUGCUUCUAAUUAAUGUACGCAUAACACUAUAUUGUCUAUAUGGAUCGGUGAAUUUUAGCAAAAACAUUUGAGAA